rnacentral:rRNA from 1 species
AUAACGACUCUCGACAACGGAUAUCUCGGCUCUCGCAUCGAUGAAGAACGUAGCAAAAUGCGAUACUUGGUGUGAAUUGCAGAAUCCCGUGAACCAUCGAGUUUUUGAACGCAUGUUGCGCCUAAAGCCAUUAGGUUGAGGGCACGUCUGCCUGGGCGUCUCGC